UACGUAGGGUGCAAGCGUUGUCCGGAAUUAUUGGGCGUAAAGAGCUCGUAGGCGGUCUGUCGCGUCGAAUGUGAAAACCCGGGGCUCAACCCCGGGCCUGCAUUCGAUACGGGCAGACUAGAGUUCGGUAGGGGGGACUGGAAUUCCUGGUGUAGCGGUGAAAUGCGCAGAUAUCAGGAGGAACACCGGUGGCGAAGGCGGGUCUCUGGGCCGAUACUGACGCUGAGGAGCGAAAGCGUGGGGAGCGAACAGG
rnacentral:rRNA from 1 species